rnacentral:rRNA from 1 species
UACGGCCGCAAGGUUAAAACUCAAAUGAAUUGACGGGGGCCCGCACAAGCGGUGGAGCAUGUGGUUUAAUUCGAUGCAACGCGAAGAACCUUACCUGGUCUUGACAUCCACAGAACUUUCCAGAGAUGGACUGGUGCCUUCGGGAACUGUGAGACAGGUGCUGCAUGGCUGUCGUCAGCUCGUGUUGUGAAAUGUUGGGUUAAGUCCCGCAACGAGCGCAACCCUUAUCCUUUGUUGCCAGCGAUUAGGUCGGGAACUCAAAGGAGACUGCCAGUGAUAAACUGGAGGAAGGUGGGGAUGACGUCAAGUCAUCAUGGCCCUUACGACCAGGGCUACACACGUGCUACAAUGGCGCAUACAA